GACGAACGCUGGCGGCGUGCUUAACACAUGCAAGUCGAACGGAAAGGCCCUGCUUUUGUGGGGUGCUCGAGUGGCGAACGGGUGAGUAACACGUGAGUAACCUGCCCUUGACUUUGGGAUAACUUCAGGAAACUGGGGCUAAUACCGGAUAGGAGCUCCUGCUGCAUGGUGGUGGUUGGAAAGUUUCGGCGGUUGGGGAUGGACUCGCGGCUUAUCAGCUUGUUGGUGGGGUAGUGGCUUACCAAGGCUUUGACGGGUAGCCGGCCUGAGAGGGUGACCGGGCACCUGGGGACUGAGAUACGGCCCAGACUGCUACGGGAGGCAGCAGUGGGGAAUAUGGCACAAUGGGCGGAAGCCUGAUGCAGCAACGCCGCGUGCGGGAUAACGGGCUUCGGGUUGUAAACCGCUUUCGCCUGUGACGAAGCGUGAGUGACGGUAAUGGGUAAAGAAGCACCGGCUAACUACGUG
rnacentral:rRNA from 1 species